rnacentral:ncRNA from 2 species
UUAAAGUCGCGGGGUUCGGGUGUCCCCGGGGCGUCGCGCCACGGGGAUGAAACGGGAAGCCGGUGCGCCGCCUCUGCGGCAAGGCCGGCACUGCCCCCGCAACGGUAAGCGCUCGGGGUCGUCACGGCCCCUCGGACACGGCUUCAGCCACUGCGACAGCGGGAAGGCGCCGGUCCGACACCCCCUCGGGGACGGCGUGAGUCCGGAGACCGGCCCGACGACGCGCCCCGUG